UGGGGAAUUUUGGACAAUGGGCGAAAGCCUGAUCCAGCAAUGCCGCGUGUGUGAAGAAGGCCUUCGGGUUGUAAAGCACUUUUGUCCGGAAAGAAAUGGCUCUGGUUAAUACCUGGGGUCGAUGACGGUACCGGAAGAAUAAGGACCGGCUAACUACGUGCCAGCAGCCGCGGUAAUACGUAGGGUCCAAGCGUUAAUCGGAAUUACUGGGCGUAAAGCGUGCGCAGGCGGUUGUGCAAGACCGAUGUGAAAUCCCCGAGCUUAACUCUGGAAUUGCAUUGGUGACUGCACGGCUAGAGUGUGUCAGAGGAGGGUAGAAUUCCACGUGUAGCAGUGAAAUGCGUAGAGAUGUGGAGGAAUACCGAUGGCGAAGGCAGCCCCCUGGGAUAACACUGACGCUCAUGCACGAAAGCGUGGGGAGCAAACAGG
rnacentral:rRNA from 1 species